UACGAAGGGGGCUAGCGUUGUUCGGAAUUACUGGGCGUAAAGCGCACGCAGGCGGAUUUAUAAGUCAGGGGUGAAAUCCCGGGGCUCAACCUCGGAAUUGCUCUUGAUACUGUCUAUCUUGAGUCAGGGAGAGGUGAGUGGAAUUCCUAGUGUAGAGGUGAAAUUCGUAGAUAUUAGGAAGAACACCAGUGGCGAAGGCGGCUCACUGGCCCGGUACUGACGCUCAUGUGCGAAAGCGUGGGGAGCAAACAGG
rnacentral:rRNA from 1 species